rnacentral:rRNA from 1 species
UACGAAGGGGGCUAGCGUUGUUCGGAAUUACUGGGCGUAAAGCGCACGUAGGCGGACUAUUAAGUCAGGGGUGAAAUCCCGGGGCUCAACCCCGGAACUGCCUUUGAUACUGGUAGUCUCGAGUCCGGAAGAGGUGAGUGGAAUUCCGAGUGUAGAGGUGAAAAUUCGUAGAUAUUCGGAGGAACACCAGUGGCGAAGGCGGCUCACUGGUCCGGUACUGACGCUGAGGUGCGAAAGCGUGGGGAGCAAACAGGG